rnacentral:rRNA from 1 species
UGCAGUCGAACGAUGACUUUUGUGCUUGCACAGAAUGAUUAGUGGCGAACGGGUGAGUAACACGUGAGUAACCUGCCCCUGACUCUGGGAUAAGCCUGGGAAACUGGGUCUAAUACUGGAUAUGCACCGUAGACCGCAUGGUUUUUGGUGGAAAGAAUUUUGGUCAGGGAUGGACUCGCGGCCUAUCAGCUUGUUGGUGAGGUAAUGGCUCACCAAGGCGACGACGGGUAGCCGGCCUGAGAGGGUGACCGGCCACACUGGGACUGAGACACGGCCCAGACUCCUACGGGAGGCAGCAGUGGGGAAUAUUGCACAAUGGGCGAAAGCCUGAUGCAGCGACGCCGCGUGAGGGAUGACGGCCUUCGGGUUGUAAACCUCUUUCAGUAGGGAAGAAGCGAAAGUGACGGUACCUGCAGAAGAAGCGCCGGCUAACUACGUGCCAGCAGCCGCGGUAAUACGUAGGGCGCAAGCGUUAUCCGGAAUUAUUGGGCGUAAAGAGCUCGUAGGCGGUUUGUCGCGUCUGCCGUGAAAGUCCGAGGCUCAACUUCGGAUCUGCGGUGGGUACGGGCAGACUAGAGUGAUGUAGGGGAGACUGGAAUUCCUGGUGUAGCGGUGAAAUGCGCAGAUAUCAGGAGGAACACCGAUGGCGAAGGCAGGUCUCUGGGCAUCUACUGACGCUGAGGAGCGAAAGCAUGGGGAGCGAACAGGAUUAGAUACCCUGGUAGUCCAUGCCGUAAACGUUGGGCACUA